rnacentral:tRNA from 1 species
AAAGAUUUAGUUUAAUUAAAACAUUAACUUGUCAAGUUAAAUAUAUUAUAGUUUUAUAAUAAUCUUUA